rnacentral:rRNA from 1 species
GAUGAACGCUGGCGGCGUGCUUAACACAUGCAAGUCGAACGAAGCAUUUGCGACAGAUUUUUUCGGAAUGAAGUUGCUUAUGACUGAGUGGCGGACGGGUGAGUAACGCGUGGGUAACCUGCCUUGUACUGGGGGAUAGCAGCUGGAAACGGCUGGUAAUACCGCAUAAGCGCACAAUGUUGCAUGACAUGGUGUGAAAAACUCCGGUGGUAUAAGAUGGACCCGCGUCUGAUUAGCUAGUUGGUGAGAUAUCAGCCCACCAAGGCGACGAUCAGUAGCCGACCUGAGAGGGUGACCGGCCACAUUGGGACUGAGACACGGCCCAGACUCCUACGGGAGGCAGCAGUGGGGAAUAUUGCACAAUGGAGGAAACUCUGAUGCAGCGACGCCGCGUGAGUGAAGAAGUAAUUCGUUAUGUAAAGCUCUAUCAGCAGGGAAGAUAGUGACGGUACCUGACUAAGAAGCUCCGGCUAAAUACGUG